CUGUGACAUUGGCCCAGGAAAUGGAGAAAGGAAGUCUAAUACCAGAAAUCAACUUGUUGGGUAGACAAGGUGACCCAAGAUGCUGAGGAAGAGGAGAAGAAUGUCAAUCAAAUACCAGUUCCUCCUGCUAUUGGCAAAGAAACAUUGCAGAAUCUGAUUUAUGUAACCCUCAGGAAUUUGCCAGGGGAUUCUUCUACACAUUUUGUACCUGGUUUGUAUUUGGCUUGCUGGCAAAACCACAGUCACAUAGUCUCUUUUUUGCAACCCAGUUCAG
rnacentral:lncRNA from 14 species